AAUGUUGCAAUAGUAAUUGAACUUAGUGCGAGAGGAACCGUUCAUUCGGAUAAUUGGUAUCUGGGCCUGCCUGAGCAGGCAAUGGCCCGAAUCUGUCAUCGUUAGGUUAUGGCUGAACGCCUGUAAGUCAGAGCCCGUGCUAGAACGCGACAAUUACCGCCUUUUCCGAUUUUUAGUUGAAUACAAAUAGAUCUUCAGAUCCUGAAUCAUAUAGUGAUAGGGUAUGUCAGGACAGAUAGGCAAUUUGGUGAAGGGAACAAAGGGGUAAAGGAACAGGAUGUAAUGUUUUGCACAGUAGGGACCUACCUAUUUUGGCUACGAACUAUUUAUGUGUGGCAAGAGCUACCUAGCACGGAUUACGACUGCGGGAGCCAGAAGGGCUUUGCACUGAACGGUAAGCCCACUUGGAGAAUGGG
rnacentral:ncRNA from 1 species